AUGAGGAUGGGGAUGGGAUUGGAUGAGGAUGAGGAUGAGGAUGAGGAUGGGGAUGGGAUGGGGAUAGGGAUGGGAUGGGAUUGGAUGAGGAUGAGGAUGAGGAUGAGGAUGAGGAUGAGGAUGAGGAUGAGGAUGAGGAUGAGGAUGAGGAUGGGGAUGAGGAUGAGGAUGGGGAUUGGAUGGGGAUGGGCACGGCCCCGCUCCUGCUCCUUCCUCCCGCAUCCCUUGGCCUUUUCCUGCUUCCCUUCUUUUCUCUGCCCUUCUUCUUUCUUUCAUUUUCCCUUUUUCCUUCUUUUCUUCGCCCUUUUUCCUUCUUUAAUUUUCCUUUCCUUCUUUUCUCUGCCUUUCUUUCCUUCUUUUCUCUGCCCUUCUUUCCUUCUUUUCCUUCUUUUCCUUCUUCUCCCUUCCUCCCUUUCCCUUUUCCUUCUCCUUUUCCCUCCUCUCUUUCCCUUUUCCCUCCUCCCUUUUCCCCUCUCCUUCUCUCUCCUUUUUUCCCUUCUCCUUUUUCCCCCUUUUCCUUCCUCCCUUUUCUUUUCCCUUCUCCCUUUUCCUUUUCCCAGCCCAGAAACUCGGGAUGGGGACACGGAAACGGGGCUGGGGCGGGAAAGGAAAAGAAGGAAAAGAAGGAAAAAAGGGGAAAUUGAAACCAAAACAAAAAAAAUGAAGGAGAGGAAAGGGGGAAAGAAGGAAAAGAAAGAAAAGAAGGAAAAAAAAAAGAAAUUGAAACCAAAAAAGAAAAGGAAGGAGAGGGAAAAGAGGAAAAGGAAAAGAUUUUGGAAGGGAAAGAUGGAAAGGGAAAAGCAGGGAAGGGGAAAUCUGGGAAUGAAAAUGGAAACGAUGAAAAAAGAGGGAGGAAUUUGGGAAAGGAGGGAAAAAAGGGAAGGAGGAAAAGGAGAAAGUGAAGAAAACGGGGAAAUGGGAAAGGGGCAGAAAGGAGGGAGGGGAGGAGGAAAAGGAGGAGGAAAAGGGAAAAGAGGAGGAAAAGGAGAAAGGAAAAAGAAAGAAAAACAGGGGGAGGAAAAGAGAAUGGAAAAAAUGGGGAAAAGAGGAAUUAAAAAAGGGGAAGGGAAAAGAGGAGGAAAAAAGGGAGGGAGAAAAAGAGAAGAAAAAGAAAUGAGAGGAGGGAAAAGAAAAUGAAAGAAAAGAGGAAAGGAAAAAGGGGAGAAAAGAGGGAAAAGAGGAGCAGAUGAGAGGGGAAGGGGAGGAAGGAGCGGGAGAGGAGAAAAAGGGGGAAAAGGGGAGAAAAAGAGGAAUAAAAGGGAAAAGAGCAGAUGAGAGGGGAAAAGG
rnacentral:lncRNA from 1 species